rnacentral:piRNA from 1 species
UGAGCAGAGGAAAGUCUACCAUGCACA